GUUUGGCACCUCAUACCUCCACUGAGCAGGCCAAGGCACACACAAGCAUUGCACUCAUCUGACUGAAAUCACAAAACACGCCUGCUUGAUUUGCCUCAGAUAUGAGCAGAGAUUAUUCUCCUUCACUGCCCAAGACUUGCUAGAUGGGAUUUCGAAUUCAGCUGACAACAAUAGACUAACUUUCCAGAUUAUUUGAUAGUGCCUAGGCACAAAGCAGCUGGAAAAGUGAAGAUCUCCUAGAUUUGAAGUUGGUGAUACUCACAGUUGUUUGAGAUAAAAUGCAACAUAAGGCAGACAAACAGUGAUGAGGAGCCAAAUUUUUUGGAACACUUUGCGUUGCUGAAGCAGAGAACAGACAAUGCUAUGGAGUUUGCACAUCUGUCUGCAAAUCUAAUUUCACACCUUAAGAUCAAGCUGUACCUCAACAUUUUACGUCCAUAUAUAUAUAUAUAUAUGUUUAUGUAUUUAUUAUUACUCUUUUGAUUUCCAAACUGAUAAUCUCCCUGGAAUGUUAAUUGAUGACAUUCUUGUUACCCUGCAUUCUUGCAGCCCUAAGACGAUCUAAAAAUUUAAUUGUCUCUGCACUGCUCUCAUGUAUAACCGCCACAGAAUAGAAGAGAUAUGACUGUGCUUUCUAAGCCCUAUAGCAAAAAUAUCAGAACUUAGAAUAAUCACAAGCAGAAAGUUAAUAAUUUCUGUUCUUGUGCACAGCUUGAAACCUGGCUGCUUUUCUGGAGCAGGUAAAUAGCUAUAAAAGAAUCAAGAAAAAAGCAUCAUUUUUCAAGGACUCAGGUUAAAGUGGGGUCUUUUGCAUUAAAAUAAUAAUUUUCAUAUUAUGCAUCUAACAUUUCUUUGGCACAGUGCCAGUGCAUAAUGUCUCCCUUGAAAAGGCCAUCAGUCUGAAUAUCUAUUAGAAAUUUCUUUCCUGAAUUAUUUACACAACUGAACAAUUUGUUUUCUUUUGUUUAGAUGGGUACCUUGAGUACAUGGGUGCAUUUUCAGUGUUUAUAAAUGUAGUUCAGGGCUGGCACAACUGAGUUUUCCACAACUAAUUACUUCAUGGUGCAGUAAGAAACAUGUGGUUUAUUUAAUGAAUGUACUCUGUAAAUUAAUUCCAAAAUUGA